rnacentral:rRNA from 1 species
AUGGCCAAGCGCUUGCUGCCAUGGAUCAGUGUCUUGGUCGUGCUCUCGACGCUGUGGCGCUCGUGCAGCCCGGCCGCCGGCGCCGACCCGACGGCCGGGUUCACCGCCGUGGAGGUCACGGAGGACCGGUUCAAGCUCCACAAGCCGUAUGACCUGCCGCAGGAGCAGCGCUACGAGCUCCGCGCCGACGGCGUGCGGCGGUUCUGGGUCUACUGCGACGACAAGCCCUUCCGCGCCGGGAGCCCCACCAAGCCGCGCUCCGAGAUCCUCCUCAACGUAACGUACAGCUCCGGGGUGUGGCAGUUCGAGGGGUACGGCUACGUGCCGGCCGGCACGACGGGAGUGUCCGUGAUGCAGGUGUUCGGCGCGGCAGGCCCGCCGCGGAACACGACGCUGAUGCUGCACGUCUACGGCGGACGGCUCGUGUACUACAACGAUGAGACCAAGGUGGUCGACAGCCACAUCUACGACCGGUGGUUCAGGCUCAACGUGGUCCACGAUGUCCAAGCGUCGGCCCUCACCGUGUUCAUCGACGGCGACCAGAGGCUGGUCGUCCCAGGCUACGGCGGCGACUUCCACUACUUCAAGUUCGGUGUGUACACGCAAACGGACCCCUCGCACUACAUGGAGUCGCGGUGGAGGGAUGUCAAGGUCUACACUAAGACUUCCUACUGA